rnacentral:sRNA from 1 species
UUGAUUACAUGGAGAGAAUAUGAAAUUCAAGUGGCAGCUUAUAAUAAAAGAGGAUUGGGAGUUUUCAGUGAAAGUAUUGAAGUUACAACAUCAGAAGGAAGUGAGUCAAAUUAUGUCAACCAAAAAUCUUUGUAUUUUUUUGGUUUUUUUACUUUUAAAUUACAUUAUAUUUUUUCAGGGCCAACACAAGCACCAAAGAAUGUUCGAGUGAAAGUUCUCAACUCAACUGCUGUUGCAAUCGAAUUCACUGCUCCAGAACAACAAAGAAUUCCGGGAGUGAAUCUAGGAUACAAGGUUCAAUUUUGGAAGGGUGAACCAGAGAAAGGAGAACUUUACAAGCAAGUAAUCUUGGAUCCGGAUAGACGUCAGCUUACCACUGUUGUUAAUGAACUUGAAAAGUUUGGACAUUACAAUUUAACAACUUUAUGUUUCACGACUCCUGGAGAUGGACCAAGAAGUAAUGUAGUGAAAGUUGUAACUGAAGAAGAUACUCCAGAAUCUGUCGAUGAAUUAAGUAUUGCUGAAGUAAUGUAUAAUGGAGCAG